AGGUUUCUUCAGUUCCUGAGCGUGGUGAUUGGGUGCUGACGCCGUGUGCGUGAAAUGUGCCUCCUCAAACCUUGUUACAACAUUGGCAUUUACCCACCUGACA